UGCAGUCGAGCGGAAACGAUCCUAGCUUGCUAGGAGGCGUCGAGCGGCGGACGGGUGAGUAAUGCAUAGGAAUCUGCCCGAUAGUGGGGGAUAACCUGGGGAAACUCAGGCUAAUACCGCAUACGUCCUACGGGAGAAAGCAGGGGAUCUUCGGACCUUGCGCUAUCGGAUGAGCCUAUGUCGGAUUAGCUUGUUGGUGAGGUAAUGGCUCACCAAGGCGACGAUCCGUAGCUGGUCUGAGAGGAUGAUCAGCCACAUCGGGACUGAGACACGGCCCGAACUCCUACGGGAGGCAGCAGUGGGGAAUAUUGGACAAUGGGCGAAAGCCUGAUCCAGCCAUGCCGCGUGUGUGAAGAAGGCUUUCGGGUUGUAAAGCACUUUCAGUGAGGAAGAAAGCCUUGGGGCUAAUACCCCCAAGGGACGACAUCACUCACAGAAGAAGCACCGGCUAACUCCGUGCCAGCAGCCGCGGUAAUACGGAGGGUGCGAGCGUUAAUCGGAAU
rnacentral:rRNA from 1 species